GAUUGGUACCAGUAAUGGUUUAAAAGGGAAUUCGGUUCAACGCCGAAGCUGUCCCCGCAACUGUAAGUGUGGACAAUUGUCAAAUAACCACUGAGCAAUGCUUGGGAAGGAUGACAAAUUGGAUGAAACACAAGCCAGUAGACCUACCAGUAUUUU
rnacentral:ncRNA from 1 species